AACGCGAAGAACCUUACCUGGCCUUGACAUGUCCGGAACCCUGCAGAGAUGCGGGGGUGCCUUCGGGAAUCGGAACACAGGUGCUGCAUGGCUGUCGUCAGCUCGUGUCGUGAGAUGUUGGGUUAAGUCCCGCAACGAGCGCAACCCUUGUCCUUAGUCGCCAGCAUUAAGUUGGGCACUCUAAGGAGACCGCCGGUGACAAACCGGAGGAAGGUGGGGAUGACGUCAAGUCAUCAUGGCCUUUAUGACCAGGGCUACACACGUGCUACAAUGGCGCAUACAAAGAGAAGCAAUCUCGCGAGAGCUAGCGGACCUCAUAAAGUGCGUCGUAGUCCGGAUUGGAGUCUGCAACUCGACUCCAUGAAGUCGGAAUCGCUAGUAAUCGUGAAUCAGAAUGUCACGGUGAAUACGUUCCCGGGCCUUGUACACACCG
rnacentral:rRNA from 1 species